ACCGGUGGAGAUGGAGCCGGGCCGAAAGGUUUCGCGGCGGCCAAUCCGUUGAGGAGUGGCGUCCCUUCCCUGGUGCCGUGCGGUCCGGUCUUGGCGACGCCAACUCCACGCAGCUCGCCGGAAUCGGCGGAGAUGGAGCGGGGGCGGGUACAAAAUAAAGAUAAAGUGGGGGAUCCAGGGGAGUUCGCGGCGGCCGACGAGAAGGAUGCACGAGCCUCGCGGGAGUGGGUGCGACGGAGGCAUCGGCGUUUGCGAGGCACGCCCUGCCGCGGGUGAUGUGGUCGCGGCGACCGUACCAGUUCGUGUCUGGAAGUAUAACUGUUGGUUGCCCGAGACUCAUCGCCAUCGUAGGUGCGCAACGCCUUGCCAUCCUGUGAGGCUGUGACCCCGGUAGCUGAGACCGUCAUCCUCAUGGCGCAGAAGUUCAACACGACUGUAAUGGUGGUGUGCCAGAGGUCUGGCUGUGCUGUCUCGCCUCACCGACAUGCUACUGCCGCUAUUUGCCGACGCCAGUGAGCAGCGGCAACACCAACAUAGAUGAUGUCCAGCAGAUAUGCGACGAUUGCCACCAACGGGUAAGGUAAGGAAUUCCAUAAUCAGCAAAGUAUUGUUAGUUAUUACCACUGUCUGAAACUUUCCAUGGGAGGUUGCAUAUUUUACUCUGGUGCCCAUUCCCAGGUGUUCUAAUGUGUUCUUAACAUCUGCUGGCGCUAACUGAUUUUAUUUUGGACUUGAUUUGUAUUCUAGGACGAUGCACCUUCGAUAUGAAAUCAGUUCAUAUAUAUUUUGAUGAGGAGUUUCUAUCUUUGACGAGUUUAAUACAUUUAUCUGAAUCUGUUACAGCGGGCUUUGCACCGCAAAGUAGUUUAUUUAAUAGGCUCUUUUCAGAUUAAUUAUUGUAAAGAGUGGUCGGAUUCAGCAUGGAGUAGUAGGGUGGUUCUUCAGUGCUUUUGAUUGAUACCAUUGUUCUUUCCACCCAUUGUUGAUUUUCAGUUCCAGUCACGAAUUGAGUAGCCGGACUACUGAUAAUUGUGGUUGAUGUACGUAUAUGCAGAGUUCUGAAUUCAUGUAUUAAUUGUACAACAGGCCUGUGAAGAUGCACACAUUUAUUGUGAAUUCUUUUUUUUCGUC